CACUGAUUACACAACAGCUAGUAAAAUGCAUCUCAGAGGCAUACUCAUGUAAAGCUUUAAUAACAAACAUGUUCUUCAUCACGCGACCCUUGAAUAUUCAAAGUCGAGAACCUAAAAGCGUCGAGGAGGGAAAUACAUCUCUAUAUUUUAAAAGGUUUUGGCGAUAUAUUAUUAGCCUAGCUGUCUCUACGCUGAAAAAUCCAGUUCGGUUUUUCCGCGAAGCUCCAAAAAUCUAUGAAAUGUGUUUGCAUGUUCUUCUCCGCGAGCGGGGAUGUAGAGGUGGGAUUGCGAGAAUCGAAAGGUUGGAGAGCCCGCACGCUCAGCUUCCGAGAAAGUACGUUUUACAAUAAUGUAUUAUUCUAUUUCUCUCUUGUUCUAUACAGGCUAGGAGUAUAUUAAUUCAGUUGGUUUAGUGUAAGGUUGUCUUUCUUUUUUUUUUUUUACAUCAAUCUCUACGGUAGGCUUGGAGACGGUCCGCUUGGACAGUGGGAGCCCUCCCCUCCUCUUCGUUCUGGUUUGGUAGGUGCGAAUAAAAAAGGGCCCGUGUUUGCAAAUAUGCAGAUAGGCUACAUAAGAGGGAGGGAGGGGGGAUCAUACUUUGUCGAAGUCUGCUGAAAGUUGGGAUGUCAUCUUCCUAACGAUCAAGUUAACUAGGGGAAUGGGAGAAUGGUUCUUCUAUCUAUACCCUCAAACGUGCUGGUGCAGACCAUACGCUGGCACCGCAGAGACCGUGGUUUCAGAUCAUUGAGUCUAGACAAAAGGUGAUGCUUCCUACAGGAGCAGCAUUUCGGUGGUUCCAGUAAGACUCUGACCCUCCACUCUAACCCUUACCUACACAAACCCAAAGCUCUGCGAUCAAGUGCAAUGCCAACUCUCGCUUCGAUUGUAUCGGGCAUGGACACUGGCUGACAAGAAAACUUACAACAAAUAAAAAGAUAUAAAAAAAAAUUACGAAACAGGAAUGAUACAAAAUAAUCAACUGAGUAAUGGAUGCACCUAAUUAUUCCUUGAACCAAAAAUUAAAUAUAAAGAAAAUAAUCUAUGGCAACUUUCAUUCAUUCCCUUUUCUAUGUUCCCAUUUUGGUACAUUUUGUCCUGUUUCCAGCAGGUCUUUUCUGUCGCUCAGACAUGGAACUGUUCAUUGCUAAACAGAAAUGACUGACUGAGUGUGGACAAUCAACACAUGUCUGUGUUUGGUGUUAAUGUUGUUCACAUGUGGAAAGAUACAGUACUUGUGUAGAGAAUGUACAUUUAUGGCUAUAUUUUAAAACUAGUGGCUAAUGGCAGGCACUAUUGUAAUUUAGCACCAUUGUUCUUAUCUAAACCCUUGUCUAUUUUAUGAUUUAUAUUGUUGCAAGAAUAUAGUUUGAAACGGAUCAAUGGUUGUCUUUUAAAAGAAAAAGGAAAUGUUUCAAAAUGUAAAAAUCCAGAUUUCUGAUUCAAAUGAAAAAGCAACUCUCAUCCUAUGGGGCAGAAGUCUAGGGGACUCUUUAGCAGGAUGAUCCUAACCUCCAGAGAACUCACUGGAAUCUCCCCAACCAACCAACCAACCAACCAACCAACCAACCGUGUUUUCCUCGCCUGUAUUUCCAAGCUUUUUAUUUAGUGAAACUGGCAGCCUUACGUUCCUAUGGCCCUAGCGACUGUGUCUGGCAUGAGGAGGACAGAGGGCGACAUCACUAGGAGGCACUUGUUCUGAGUCUACCCAUUUGAACGCACUGAAACAUGAAUUUAUUUGUAUUUUUUAUUUGUUAAUUUUUUUAAAUUAUGUUGCUGGUAGCUACAUCUUUUAAAAACAACAGCGAUGUUUGUAUUCAUUUAGAAAAUUGGACUGGUUUUGUGAAUAAAAACGAAUGCAUGUAUUUGUGUAAAAAUUUACAGUUCUGAUGUUUGUCUACUUGUCUUUGCAUGUUUUUUUCCCCUAAAACAGCGGGUGAAGUAUGAAAAUGUCCGGUAAAUCUUUCAAAUUUGUUCCCUUUUCAUAUCAUUGGAUGCUAUAAUUUAAAAAAAAAAUAUUGGGCGAGAAAUACAAAUCAUUAAAGCAGAAGGAGGAAAUGGUGUGUUUCAUUCAGAUGUUUCCUGUUGCUCUAGCAUAGAUACCCAAUACAAACAACACUGGUAGUGACAGGGUAGGAACCAAAGUUUUGGUGAGUGUUUCCCAGUGUUUCCCAGGGGGCCCUAAUUAGUGUUCCUCAUGAAAGAGUGUUGUACUUGAAGGUUCUAUGUAGAGAUAGUGUGGAGUUGUUGCAAUGGGUAGAUUGAUGUACAGGUAACUGCCAAAAUAAAGGAUACAUCAACAUAAAGUGUCUUAAUUGGGCGUUGGGCCAGAACAGCUUCAGUGCACCUUGGCAUAGUAGAGUCUACAAGUGUCUGGAACUCUGUUGGAGGGAUGCAACACCAUUCUUCCACGAGAAAUUCCAUAAUUUGUUUUUUUGUUGAUGGUGGUGGAAAACACUGUUUCAGGUGCUGCUCCAGAAUCUCCCAUUAGUGUUCAAUUGGGUUGAGAUCUGGUGACUGAUACACUCGUGCCCUGUGGAUGGGGGCAUUGUCAUCCUAUAGCCAUGGUAGACAAAAUAAUGGCCUGCCCAGAAUUUGUUUACAUGACCCUAAGCAUGAUGGGAUGUUAAUUGCUUAAUUAACUCGGGAACCAUACCUGUGUGGAAUCACCUGCUUUCAAUAAACUUUGUAUUCCUC
rnacentral:lncRNA from 1 species